rnacentral:tRNA from 1 species
GAUUAAAUGGCUGAUAAUAGGCAAUAAAUUGUAAAUUUAUUUAUGGGAAAAUUUUUCUCUUUAAUCA